AUGACGCUAAUCGCGAGAAGCACACAACCGCAGGCAGGAAACUUUGACAAGGGCCAGCGCGCUGACGGAGGAAAAUCCGCCGUUUGUCUAGCGCGGCUAGACAAAAAUAAAGGCGCAGAUUGGAAGCGCCGGCUGAGCCCCGGUCCCAGGCGCCCGCCCGCGUCCCCGGCCCGGCGGCAGGAGGAGGGCCCAGAGGCCGCGGCUCCGCGCGCAGCGCAGGACAGGGCAGCACAGGCCGCGGGGCCAGGGCUCGGAGGCGUAGCGCGGAGCCCGCCCGCCCGCUCACCUGUCCAGUGUCUCGCUGCUAGCCUGCCGCGAGCCAGCCCCCGCCGCCGCGCCUGCCCCCGCCCGCGCGGCCCGCCGGCUCACAACGCCGCUGUCCGCCGCCGGCCCGGCCGCCGCCGCCGCCGCCGCCCGCUCCAUGGUUCCAGCCGCUGGCGGGACGCCCCGCGCCGCCAGGAUGGCGGCCUCCCACCCGGCCCGGCCCUGCCGCCUCAGCCCGGGCCCCGGCGGCGGCUGAGAGCUGUCACCUGGCGGCUGGGUUUACCCAUAGGCCUCCGCGGCGCCGUAAGGGCGGCAGCGGCCCCGCGCGGAGCGGGAAGGCGGCGCCGGGCGGGAGCGGGGCAGGCCCGGCCCGGCCCGAGGAAAGCGGCUGACGGCGGCGAAUGGUUGAAAAGAGAUACGUUUAUUUCUUUUUCCCUCCACGCACAUUCAGAGCAGACGGAGCCCGGGCUCCACUCCCGCCCCGCUCCAGAGCGGCUCUGUCAUCGUGCGGCGCCCCACGGCACUGCUGCAGAGGCCCUGGGCUCAAGCGUGACACAAACGCCAGACCGAAGGAAAAACGCCGCACAAACCGAGCUCAAGGCAGAGUUUAAACAUACUUCCAAAGGAGGCAGUAUGCAAAUCUUUCAUAGGUACACUGAUAAUGGUGAUACUGGGAUGGAUAAGGCAUGCAGCAAAGCAAGAAGGCAUUCUGCAGUAACUUCCCAGUACAAAACAGGGUGA
rnacentral:lncRNA from 1 species